rnacentral:rRNA from 1 species
UACGUAGGGUGCAAGCGUUGUCCGGAAUUAUUGGGCGUAAAGAGCUCGUAGGCGGUCUGUCGCGUCUGCUGUGAAAACUCGGGGCUUAACCCCGGGCCUGCAGUGGGUACGGGCAGACUAGAGUGAUGUAGGGGAGACUGGAAUUCUCGGUGUAGCAGUGAAAUGCGUAGAUAUCGAGAGGAACACCGGUGGCGAAGGCGAGUCCCUGGACAAUUCCUGACACUGAGGCACGAAAGCUAGGGGAGCAAACAGG